UACAGAGGGUGCGAGCGUUGUUCGGAAUUAUUGGGCGUAAAGCGCAUGUAGGCGGCUUGUUAAGUCGCGUGUGAAAUCUCCAGGCUCAACCUGGAAAGUGCGCGCGAAACUGGCGAGCUUGAGUGUCGGAGAGGGUGGCGGAAUUCCCGGUGUAGAGGUGAAAUUCGUAGAUAUCGGGAGGAACACCAGAGGCGAAGGCGGCCACCUGGACGACCACUGACGCUGAGACGGCGAAAGCGUGG
rnacentral:rRNA from 1 species